ACCCAAACCCAGGUCUGCUGACUCCUAGUCCAGUGCUUGUGAUGGCUGGUGGGCCCUGAACUAGGGGUCUGGAGGCCUGGGUUUGAAUAUC
ensembl:miRNA chi-mir-345 chi-mir-345